AAGAUGUUGGAGAAUUUCAACCAGUGUGUUGUUGUGAGCACUGUGUCCUUGGCAACACACCUGUUUGCCAGUCAGCUUUUGCGAUCUAAAGAUUGUUAAAAGGUUGGAUACUUAUGUGGCUGUAAUGUGUCGGAGGUCACGGCCCAUCUCUCGGACAGUGGUGGUCUGACCUCAGGGACACAGGAUGCCUAAACCACACUGGCACUCGUUCACUUUUCCAGAAAGCUCACUGAGGAACGCAGGAAGCCAAGAAAACUAAACAAUGUCUCGGAUCAUAAGCUAGCAGAUGUUAAAUUGAAAAAGAAUUGAUUCUUUGGAUUUUUUUGCAGGAGCGACCAUGAUUUUUAGUUUUUUCCUGUGAGAAAGUUGUCUUGUCUUUUCUUCGUUUUUGAUUUUUCUAUUUGGAGACAUAAGAAUGAUGAGGUUAUAUAAGAUAAGAAUUUGCUCGCUCUGUUCCAGUGAAGAUAUGAAAACAAAGAAAAUGUUGAUAGAUCUUGAGUUAUUAGAAUUGUUUUUAAAAUGCAUAUUCAUAUGGUCAAAGUUAAUAUUAAGCAGAAAAUCCACGUAUGAGCAUGGUCUCAAAUUAGACAAUAUCCUACUCAAA